AUCCUGGGGACCUGACGCAGCACGCCGCGUGAUUGAAGAAGGCCUUCGGGUUGUAAAGAUCUUUAAUUGGGGACGAAACAAAUGACGGUACCCAAAGAAUAAGCUCCGGCUAACUACGUGCCAGCAGCCGCGGUAAUACGUAGGGAGCGAGCGUUAUCCGGAUUUACUGGGUGUAAAGGGCGAGUAGGCGGGACGGCAAGUUGGGAGUGAAAUCUGGGGGCUUAACCCCCAAACUGCUUUCAAAACUGCUGUUCUUGAGUGAUGGAGAGGCAGGCGGAAUUCCCAGUGUAGCGGUGAAAUGCGUAGAUAUUGGGAGGAACACCAGUGGCGAAGGCGGCCUGCUGGACAUUAACUGACGCUGAGGAGCGAAAGCGUGGGGAGCAAACAGGAUUAGAUACCCUGGUAGUCCACGCCGUAAACGAUGGAUACUAGGUGUGGGAGGUAUUGACCCCUUCCGUGCCGGAGUUAACACAAUAAGUAUCCCACCUGGGGAGUACGGUCGCAAGGCUGAAACUCAAUGAAAAAUUGACGGA
rnacentral:rRNA from 1 species